ensembl:snRNA U6 U6 spliceosomal RNA
GUGCUCACUUCCGCAGCACAUAUAUUAAAACUAGAACGAUAGAGAGAGGACUAGCGUGGCUCCCGCGCAAGAAUGACACGCAAAUUGGUGAAGUGUUGCUGGAUGGU